UUAUGUCUUAGUUCUUUCAUUCAAAAUAUGUUAUUUGACCAUCAAAACAUUUAAACACUUCAAGAAAGUUCUUAUUUCAAAACAUUUGAAGUUCAUGCAAAAUACUCUCUUUUUAAUACUUUGAGAUACGGUGGUCAUCUCUUUCAUCAAUCGCAUAUAAUUCUUUAUUAGGAAUAUGAGAAUUUACAAAUCAAAGAAACACCCUCUCAUUUAGUCAUAAAAAUAGUACAAUUCAUAAUUGACAGUAAACCUUCAAACUCAAGCUUUUAACCAUCCGUUUAAUCAACCCAUAACAUGUAAAAACAUUGGGUUUUGUAACAAGAGAGAAAAUUCCAUCAAUCAUGCUUUCGUAUAACUUCUCAAACUCAUAAC
rnacentral:lncRNA from 1 species